GCCCGUGUAGCUCAGUUGGUAGAGCGGCCGUCUCUUAAACGGCGGGGCGGGGGUUCGAGACCCUCCGCGGGCA
rnacentral:tRNA from 3 species